rnacentral:tRNA from 1 species
GGGUCCAUGGUCCAACGGCUACGACGUUCGCUUGACGUGCGAAAGGUUAGGGGUUCGAUUCCCUUUGGGCCCA